UCCCCUCCACCGCCACUAUUUAUUAGUUGUAAAAUUAUAUUUAGGACCUUUAGCUCAGUUGGUUAGAGCUAACGGCUCAUAA
rnacentral:tRNA from 1 species